UACGAAGGGGGCUAGUGUUGUUCGGAAUUACUGGGCGUAAAGCGCACGUAGGCGGAUUUGUAAGUCAGGGGUGAAAUCCCGGGGCUCAACCUCGGAACUGCCUUUGAUACUGCAAGUCUUGAGUCCGAUAGAGGUGAGUGGAAUUCCUAGUGUAGAGGUGAAAUUCGUAGAUAUUAGGAAGAACACCAGUGGCGAAGGCGGCUCACUGGAUCGGUACUGACGCUGAGGUGCGAAAGCGUGGGUAGCAAACAGG
rnacentral:rRNA from 1 species